rnacentral:tRNA from 1 species
GGAGGAGUCGCCUAGUGGCUAUGGCACGUGCUUGGAAAGCACGCGGGAGCAAUCCCUCGCAGGUUCGAGUCCUGUCUCCUCCG